UACGAAGGGGGCUAGCGUUGUUCGGAAUUACUGGGCGUAAAGCGCACGUAGGCGGACAUUUAAGUCAGGGGUGAAAUCCCAGAGCUCAACUCUGGAACUGCCUUUGAUACUGGGUGUCUUGAGUAUGGAAGAGGUGAGUGGAAUUCCGAGCGUAGAGGUGAAAUUCGUAGAUAUUCGGAGGAACACCAGUGGCGAAGGCGGCUCACUGGGCUGACCUUGACGCUGAGGCGCGAAGGCGUGGGGAGCGAACGGG
rnacentral:rRNA from 1 species